rnacentral:rRNA from 1 species
CGGACCGGCGCACGGGUGAGUAACGCGUAUGUAAUCUACCUGUAACAGAGGGAUAACCCGGAGAAAUCCGGACUAAUACCUCAUAGCACAUAUUAUUCGCAUGAAUUUUAUGUUAAAGAGACUCGGUUACAGAUGAACAUGCGUUCCAUUAGCUGGUUGGCGGGGUUACGGCCCACCAAGGCAACGAUGGAUAGGGGUUCUGAGAGGAAGGUCCCCCACACUGGUACUGAGACACGGACCAG